GCGAAGCCUCCAGUAGAAAUAAUUUUACGGAUAAAUGGCCGCUGCUCAAGUUAACAGGAUGAAAAUAUUGAGCCUGUACAGAGAAAUGCUACGGGAAGCACAGAAAUUCACUGGAUAUAAUUACAGGACGUAUGCAGUGAGGAGGAUACGAGAUGCCUUUCAAGAACACAAGGCAGAAACAAAUCCAGAGCUUAUAGAAGGAUACAUCAAGAAGGCUGAGGAUAAUUUGAACAUUAUCAGAAGACAGGCCACCAUCAGCCAACUUUACAGGGAACCUAAGCUGGUUAUUGAAAGUGAUUCAGUGAAGACAAGCUAACCAAAGAAAGUGUCAACUUAUGGACAGUUUCCUAUGCAAAUAAGAAGGAUGAUUUUAAAGGUGCAAGAUCCUGGCGCUGUUGGACAAAAUGUGUACUCACCGCCAUCUUCAUUACGAAGAUCAUCAACAAAAUUUUGCAUGCAGCUGUCAAUGGCCAGCCAGUCGCGCAGCACAUGCACACAGUACACAUACGCUAUGCUGCAUUUGGCUA
rnacentral:misc_RNA from 1 species